AGCAGCCGCCACGGGAAUACGGAGGGUGCAAGCGUUAUCCGGAUUUAUUGGGUUUAAAGGGUCCGUAGGCGGAUCUGUAAGUCAGUGGUGAAAUCUCACAGCUUAACUGUGAAACUGCCAUUGAUACUGCAGGUCUUGAGUAAAUUUGAAGUGGCUGGAAUAAGUAGUGUAGCGGUGAAAUGCAUAGAUAUUACUUAGAACACCAAUUGCGAAGGCAGGUCACUAAGAUUUAACUGACGCUGAUGGACGAAAGCGUGGGGAGCGAACAGGAUUAGAUACCCCCGUAGUCCCUGUCUCUUAUAC
rnacentral:rRNA from 1 species